ACGGGCCAGAAAGCCAAGCUGGG
rnacentral:piRNA from 1 species